rnacentral:snoRNA from 1 species
AUCCUUUUGUAGUUCAUAAGCAUGAUGAUUGGGUUUUCAUGCUUAUGUGUGAGAUGUUCCUCCCUCAAACCUUGUUAUGAUGUUGGCACAUUACCUAUCUGACA